rnacentral:rRNA from 1 species
GGAUUGAACGCUGGCGGCAUGCCUAACACAUGCAAGUCGAACGGGAGUAGCAAUACUCUAGUGGCGGACGGGUGAGGAAUACGUAGGAAUUUGCCCUUAAGUGGGGGAUAACCCGGGGAAACCCGGAUUAAUACCGCAUGACCUCGAAAGAGCAAAGUGGGGGAUCGCAAGACCUCACGCUUUUGGAGAAGCCUACGUCGGAUUAGCUAGUUGGUGAGGUAAUGGCUCACCAAGGCGACGAUCCGUAACUGGUCUGAGAGGAUGAUCAGUCACACCGGAACUGAGACACGGUCCGGACUCCUACGGGAGCAGCAGUGGGGAUAUUGGACAAUGGGC